rnacentral:rRNA from 2 species
GAGGAAAAGAAACCAACAGGGAUUGCCUCAGUAACGGCGAGUGAAGCGGCAAAAGCUCAAAUUUGAAAUCUAGCACCUUCGGUGUUCGAGUUGUAAUUUGAAGAUGGUAACCUUGGGUUUGGCUCUUGUCUAUGUUCCUUGGAACAGGACGUCAUAGAGGGUGAGAAUCCCGUCUGAUGAGAUGCCCAUUCCUAUGUAAGGUGCUAUCGAAGAGUCGAGUUGUUUGGGAAUGCAGCUCUAAGUGGGUGGUAAAUUCCAUCUAAAGCUAAAUAUUGGCGAGAGACCGAUAGCGAACAAGUACAGUGAUGGAAAGAUGAAAAGAACUUUGAAAAGAGAGUGAAAAAGUACGUGAAAUUGUUGAAAGGGAAGGGCAUUAGAUCAGACUUGGUGUUUUACGAUUAUCUUCUCUUCUUGAGUUGUGCACUCGUAUUUCACUGGGCCAGCAUCGAUUCGGAUGGCAAGAUAAUGGCAGUUGAAUGUGGCUUCACUUCGGUGGAGUGUUAUAGCUUCUGCUGAUAUUGCCUGUCUGGAUCGAGGGCUGCGUCUUUUGACUAGGAUGCUGGCGUAAUGAUCUAAUGCCGCCCGUCUUGA